rnacentral:rRNA from 1 species
UACGAAGGGUGCAAGCGUUAUUCGGAGUUACUGGGCGUAAAGAGCGUGCAGGCGGUCUUUUAAGUCAGUUGUUAAAUCCUACAGCUUAACUGUAGACAAGCAACUGAUACUGGAAGUCUAGAGCAUAAGAGAGAGAAGUAGAAUUCCUGGAGUAGCGGUAAAAUGCGUAGAUCUCAGGAGGAAUACCGAUGGCGAAGGCAGCUUCUUGGCUUAUUGCUGACGCUCAAACGCGAAAGCGUGGGGAGCAAACAGGAUUAGAUACCCUGGUAGUCCACGCCGUAAACGAUGAUCACUGGAUGUGGGUUUUGCUUAGCAAAAUCUGUGUCGAAGCUAACGCGUUAAGUGAUCCGCCUGGGGAGUACGGUCGCAAGAUUAAA